CGCCAAAUAGACAAAUCGAAAAGGCCUUGGAUCGUUGAUAUUGAAAACUUAUCUACAAACCAAAUCAUCAAUUUCCAACUUGCUUCCUGAAUUUGCGGCAAUGGAUUACACAUUGGAUUACUACAGAUGUGGAAAAUGCCAAAGUACACACUACAGUUAACUCCUCAUUUAUGAAAAGCACCUCAAGUAUCGAGAGACCUCUGAUGAUGAAAGUUCCGACAAGGAAGAUGUUCCCCCUGAUGUUGAAUCCUCUCAGGGGGAAUCGGAUACUUCUGGAGACCUUAAUUCUGGAAACAACACCCAAAAUGAUUCUGAAAGUUCUGAAGGAGAAGGAGAGCGUAAAAGGAAGAAGGCCGAACGUAAAAAGAAAGCCAAAAAGGCCAGGUUGGAAAUUGAAGGAAACAGUACCUCGGACGAGGACAGCGAUCUGUCGAGCGCCUUUUCCGACUGCAGCCUCGACGAGGAUGACGAAGAGUAAAUGGCUAUGGGGAAGAGAAAAGGAGGAGAAAUUCAAGAGUCGAAAAAUUCAGAUUAAAGUGCCUUCAUAUGUGUGUGUUUGUGUUUAAAAAAUGUCUGUGUCUUUCUGUUACCUUCUCUCUUUUUCCAUGUAUCGUACCUUGUCAGCUUUCUUUACUUUCAAAUAAAUCACUUCAUCUCCA